GACGAACGCUGGCGGCGUGCUUAACACAUGCAAGUCGAGCGAGAAACCUUCGGGUUUCUAGCGGCGGACGGGUGAGUAACACGGGGGUAACCUGCCUCAAAGAGGGGGCUAGCCUUCCGAAAGGAAGAUUAAUACCGCAUAAUAUUUUAGCUUCGUAUGAAGUUGAAAUAAAAGGAGUAAUCCGCUUUGAGAUGGACCCGCGGCGCAUUAGCUAGUUGGAGAGGUAACGGCUCACCAAGGCAACGAUGCGUGGCCGACCUGAAAUGGGGAACGGCCACAUUGGAACUGAGACACGGUCCAGACUGCUACGGGAGGCAGCAAUGGGGAAUAUUGCACAAUGGGCGAAAGCCUGAUGCAGCAACGCCGCGUGAGUGAUGAAGGUCUUCGGAUUGUAAAGCUCUGUCUUUUGGGACGAUAAUGACGGUACCAAAGGAGGAAGCCACGGCUAACUACGUGCCAGCCGCCGCCGUAA
rnacentral:rRNA from 1 species